CGCGUGUGUGAGAAGCUUAUGGUUGUAAGCACUUUAGCGAGGAGGAGGCUUACCUAGCUAUACAGGAUAGUGCGUUACUCGCAGAUAGCACGGCUACUCUGUGCAGCACGCGGUA
rnacentral:rRNA from 1 species